rnacentral:rRNA from 1 species
GCCUACGGGUGGCUGCAGUGGGGAAUUUUGGACAAUGGGGGCAACCCUGAUCCAGCCAUGCCGCGUGCGGGAAGAAGGCCUUCGGGUUGUAAACCGCUUUUAGCCGGAAAGAAAAGGCGUCCCCUAAUACGGGGCGUUCUUGACGGUACCGGCGGAAUAAGCACCGGCUAACUACGUGCCAGCAGCCGCGGUAAUACGUAGGGUGCGAGCGUUAAUCGGAAUUACUGGGCGUAAAGCGUGCGCAGGCGGUUCGUUGUGUCUGAUGUGAAAGCCCCGGGCUCAACCUGGGAACUGCAUUGGAAACUGGCGGACUUGAGUGUGGCAGAGGGGGGUGGAAUUCCGCGUGUAGCAGUGAAAUGCGUAGAGAUGCGGAGGAACACCGAUGGCGAAGGCAGCCCCCUGGGCCAACACUGACGCUCAGGCACGAAAGCGUGGGGAGCAAACAGGAUUAGAUACCCGGGUAGUCCGG